rnacentral:rRNA from 1 species
CAAUAGCGUAUAUUAAAGUUGUUGCGGUUAAAAAGCUCGUAGUUGGAUUUCUGCCGAGGACGACCGGUCCGCCCUCUGGGUGAGCAUCUGGAUCGGCCUGGGCAUCCUCUUGGGGAACGUAGCUGCACUUGACUGUGUGGUGCGGUAUCCAGGACUUUUACUUUGAGGAAAUUAGAGUGUUUCAAGCAGGCUUCCGCCUUGAAUACAUUAGCAUGGAAUAAUAAGAUAGGACCUCGGUUCUAUUUUGUUGGUUUCUAGAGCUGAGGUAAUGAUUAAUAGGGAUAGUUGGGGGCAUUCGUAUUUAACUGUCAGAGGUGAAAUUCUUGGAUUUGUUAAACGACGGACUACUGCGAAAGCAAUUUGCCUAAGGAUGUUUCAUUUGAUUCAAGAACGAAAGUAAGGGAAUCGGAAGACGAUCAGAUACC